CAACUCUUUCUUUGCGAGUUAAGUUAAUUAAUAGAUUAAUCUCAAAAAAUUUACCGCUAUAGAAAAGUGGCGACUCUGCUGGGGAGUAGUCCCUAGUGGGUUAAGCCCAUCUUGUUUUUUUUUGUAUAUAUUGUAGUUGAUAUUAUUUGUUAUUGUUUGUUCUGUCUGGUGCUUGGUGAUCUCUGUGUGGUGAGAUAAGUCCUAUACCCGGACUUG
rnacentral:lncRNA from 1 species